ensembl:snoRNA small nucleolar RNA SNORA57
CCUCCAUCUUGACACACAUGUUGUUGCUCAGUACUCAAUGUGUGAUUAUUCGGAGGUAGAUCAAAGCUAGUGCUAUGUCUUCGGUACCAGUGUGUGUUAUUGUCUGCUGGUUCUAUCCUCAAUCACUAGCACAAUG